UGGGGAAUAUUGGACAAAUGGGGGCAACCCUGAUCCAGCCAUGCCGCGUGAGUGAUGAAGGCCUUCGGGUUGUAAAGCUCUUUUGGCGGGGUACGAUGAUGACGGUACCCGCAGAAUAAGCCCCGGCUAACUUCGUGCCAGCAGCCGCGGUAAGACGAAGGGGGCUAGCGUUGUUCGGAAUUACUGGGCGUAAAGCGAGUGUAGGCGGUUGCCGUAGUCAGGUGUGAAAGCCUUGAGCUCAACUCAAGAAAUGCACUUGAUACUGGGUGACUAGAGGACCGGAGAGGAUAGUGGAAGUUCCCCAGUGUAGUGGUGAAAUACGUAGAGAUUGGGAAGAACACCAGUGGCGAAGGCGGCUAUCUGGACGGUUACUGA
rnacentral:rRNA from 1 species